AUCGCUUCUCGCCCUUUUGGCUAAGAUCAAGUGUAGUAUCUCUUCUUAUUAGCUUAAUAUCUGAUAUGUCCUCUAUUUGAGGACUAUAUUUUAGCUCAAAGGAAUUGAUGUCUAAUUUUAUGAGUGCUAGAAUAUUAAUAGCUAGA
rnacentral:snRNA from 1 species